AACUACUCCUUUAAGUAACCUUUGGUCUUAUGUAACCAUACCAAACAUAACAUAUUAUACUAAUGAGUGGCCGAUCAUUUUUCAUUUACUAUAUUACGUCUAGUGUAUGAUACCAGGUUGGAGAACGAAGGAGCAGACAGAAUUGGCAAUGUGAAACUAUAAUAAAGUAUCCAGUUGAAAUGUCGCAUAGGCCUUAUUAGUAUUCUGCAUCCGUGCUGUUUUAAACUAUUUCUAAAUCACGAUAGUUCCCUUUAUAGUGGUAUAGAAUCACAGAGGAGAUUCAUUUUAGUAGAGGCGUAGUUACUUACUAAAGCAUCACAUAGAAAAGAUCACGAAGACGAGGGUCAAAUUCCAUAUCCGCUAUAUUCCUGAAAUCAUUCACCGAGAAUAUCCGCUACAGAAGCACAAAUAGUCUGAUACAGUAGUGCGCGAUGACUUGUCCAKGUAAACAUUGCAU